rnacentral:lncRNA from 1 species
AGGUCUGGACCUUGUUAAUGUAACUGCUGCCAGCUUUCCUGUAAGGAUCCCCAUCCAGGCCCUUCAGCAACUGUAGGAGCGGGCGUGGUGUCGUCGCUACUGUCAAAUCCUGGACCCGGCAGCCGACUUUUUCCUGACUUGGACAUCAGCAGCGGAAGCAAGGGAAGUUUCAAGACACACAGUAAAGUUUGCUUCAGUCCAGGGAUCACAGUGCACAAAACCAGAGCAUACUUCUCUCUGAGCUCUCCGUGAUGUUGAAAAAGAAGCUUCUUCAAGGAUGACCAAAUGCUUACCCCGCCUUGUGCCCAGCUCAGUGCAGACAGAAGUCACUACACUGAACGAGAACUACAACCAGGAAGCAGUCUCCACCCUGAGAAGCAGCCAUUAGUACACAGAGGAGAUUCCAUGGACACGGGGCCAUCCACAGGAACACAAACAACCCAUCAGCUGCCAAACUGCUGAAGAAAAGUGACUCCCCUCCUCCAGCAGGCGUAAGUUGCCAGUGGCUAAGAGUGGAACUGCCUGAGUCCCCACCUCCAUCGAUGCUGCAAAGUGCGUGCCUCGACUUUGUGCAGGGCCAGCUUUAAGAGGACAGAGCCAUGGAUUGCGAGUGGGAGAGAUUGUGUCUGUAAGGGCAGAGGAGACACCAAUGAACUGAGUGCCACCUGCUUCCGUGUGACAGGAGCCUCGCAUAACUGUUUUCUGAGAGGCUUCAUCCAGCAGUGGAUGAAACGGAUGCAGAGAGACCCACAGCCAAACAUCAGGCGGACGGAGCUCGGGCAUCAGAGCGUGGAUGCUCCAACACUGCACAGGAAGCUAAAAAAGAAAGGUCAGUCCCUGGCACUUACAAGCAUGGUGUUUUCUAGUUGUUCUCAAGCAGAAGAGAUGGAGGACCAGAAAGAAUAGAACAGUGCCCGUUUCAUGGGGACCGAACACACUGAGAGAACCUUACCACAGUUAAGUCUCUCUGCCCACAAGGGACCUAUGGGAUCCACCAUCACACCGGGAGAUCAAGGCACAGCAAAGACACAUAUCUGGGACUCACAACUCAGAUCCUUCUAUUCCUUGUAACUGCUCCAUUAAAGGCACAGAAAAGAAAACGGUGCCAUUUUACUGAUGGAUUCAGUGCAACAGAUGGACCAUCCACCUGACCAAACUGCAGAAUCGAAGUAUCCAUGCACGGAGAUAUCAUCUUCACAGAAAAUUAAAAAUCCCACAUUUAAAUCUCCAUAUA